rnacentral:rRNA from 1 species
CCUACGGGAGGCAGCAGUGAGGAAUAUUGGACAAUGGGCGCAAGCCUGAUCCAGCCAUGCCGCGUGCAGGAAGAAGCAUCUAUGGUGUGUAAACUGCUUUUGUACAGGAAGAAACACUCCCUCGUGAGGGAGCUUGACGGUACUGUAAGAAUAAGGACCGGCUAACUCCGUGCCAGCAGCCGCGGUAAUACGGAGGGUCCGAGCGUUAUCCGGAAUCAUUGGGUUUAAAGGGUCCGUAGGCGGUUUAAUAAGUCAGUGGUGAAAUCUGGUCGCUCAACGAUCAAACGGCCAUUGAUACUGUUAGACUUGAAUUAUAAGGAAGUAACUAGAAUAUGUAGUGUAGCGGUGAAAUGCUUAGAUAUUACAUGGAAUACCAAUUGCGAAGGCAGGUUACUACUUAUGGAUUGACGCUGAUGGACGAAAGCGUGGGGANCGAACAGGAUUAGAUACCCUGGUAGUCCACGCCGUAAACGANAGAUAUANUGUGUGNAUAUGAGUGNGUAGACGAA